GAUGAACGCUAGCUACAGGCUUAACACAUGCAAGUCGAGGGGAAACGAUGAGAGAGCUUGCUCUCUUAGUCGUCGACCGGCGCACGGGUGAGUAACGCGUAUCCAACCUGCCUCUGACCAAGGGAUAACCCGUCGAAAGUCGGACUAAUACCUUAUGCAGUCGUCGGAAGUCAUCUGAUGACGACGAAAGAUUUCAUCGGUGAGAGAUGGGGAUGCGUCUGAUUAGCUUGUUGGCGGGGUAACGGCCCACCAAGGCGACGAUCAGUAGGGGUUCUGAGAGGAAGGUCCCCCACAUUGGAACUGAGACACGGUCCAAACGCCUACGGGAGGCAGCAGUGAGGAAUAUUGGUCAAUGGGCGUAAGCCUGAACCAGCCAAGUAGCGUGCAGGAUGACGGCCCUAUGGGUUGUAAACUGCUUUUAUGCGGGGAUAAAGUGAGGGACGUGUCCUUCAUUGCAGGUACCGCAUGAAUAAGGACCGGCUAAUUCCGUG
rnacentral:rRNA from 1 species